AUUGCCAAGUUUUAUAAUUGAAUGCAUAUGGAAGCCCUUUUCUCUCGCUAGCAUCCGAUCAUGGAGAAUGGAGAAGCAUUUAAAGUCCUUAGGACGAGAACUGUUGUUUACUCCACAGGCACAGAAAAGCCGAGGAGGAUGGGGCCGAAGCCAAAAACAGAUACAGCUCUUUCAGUAGAACUGUCCGCGCUAAAUGCGGCGAUUCGCAAUGCAGCCAAGAAGAAAUGAGGCUUUCUGGCACGAUGAACGGAACGCAGUAGAACUUGGACAAUUAGCAGUAAAAUCCUACUACGAUGCGCUGCCAUCGUAAAAUUUACAUUUUUUUAAAUUUCUUUAAUUCAGAUUCAAAUUUAUGCACAAAAACAACAUAAAACAAUCCCAUACAAUACAAAUUCCAUCAUUAACUAUAUAUGUAUUUUCAAUUUGCUGAUUGAUUCAAAAGUACACAAAUAAAAUUAAUUACAGUUAAUGGCAGCCACUCGACUCCUCAAACCAAAUCCUUUUAAGCUGCCACAUAAAUUUCCACACCCCGAGCCACAGUCCGAGCCACAGCCGCC